rnacentral:rRNA from 1 species
UUGUAGUCAUAAGCUUGUCUCAAAGAUUAAGCCAUGCAUGUCUAAGUAUAAGCAAUCUAUACUGUGAAACUGCGAAUGGCUCAUUAAAUCAGUUAUAGUUUAUUUGAUAGUACCUUUACCUGGAUAACCGUGGUAAUUCUAGAGCUAAUACAUGCCAAAAACCCCGACUCCGGAAGGGGUGUAUUUAUUAGAUAAAAAACCAAUGCCCUCCGGGGCUCCUUGGUGAUUCAUGAUAACUUAACGAAUCGCAUGGCCUUGCGCCGGCGAUGGUUCAUUCAAAUUUCUGCCCUAUCAACUUCGAUGUAG